UACGUAGGGGGCAAGCGUUGUCCGGAAUCAUUGGGCGUAAAGAGCGUGUAGGCGGCUUGGUAAGUCCGCUGUGAAAGUCCAGGGCUCAACCCUGGAAAGCCGGUGGAAACUGUCAAGCUCGAGUCCGGAAGAGGCGAGUGGAAUUCCGUGGUGUAGCGGUGAAAUGCGCAGAUAUCAGGAGGAACACCAAUGGCGAAGGCAGCUCGCUGGGACGGUACUGACGCUGAGACGCGAAAGCGUGGGGAGCAAACAGG
rnacentral:rRNA from 1 species